rnacentral:lncRNA from 1 species
AAUUAUCUCCUAUGGGGAGGAAUUAUUUAGCCUAACAUUCAGAUAUCAACAAGUCUCUGUGACUUAGUUUGUGAGCUACCUAAGUGUUCAUUAUCAUCACUGGUGUUCUAGAUCUUCACUCAACCAUCUAGAUUUAGGCAACUGAAUUUAUCAGUAAGGACAGGGGAGCCUAAAGACAUCUGUUCAGUUGACCAAACAUUGGCACCUAAGCAAUCCUUGGAGGAUGAGAUGGUCAUCCACCAAAACACAUAACGAACAAUGACAACAAACAGAGAGAAGAAGCAGAACUCACUCAAGUGUGCAGAGAAACGGCUUAGAAACACAAGCAGUGAGCCCUGGCAACAUUUCUUUGAGCUUGCUUCCUUGAUUUCCAACAUUUUAAUUAACCCUGGAACCCACCUUGGCAACUCCAAGCCAGAAGCCAUGAUUCAAAUCCCCAUUCUGUCUGACUAACAGCAAACAUUUCAGCCCUCACAGAAGAUAAUUAGUUUAUCAGUAAGUACAGUGUCUCCUGUUAU